CUCCCCUUAGUGAAGUGGUUAUCACGUUCGACUGUAAUUCGAAAGGUCCCAUGGUUCGACUCCUGGAGGGGAGA
rnacentral:tRNA from 1 species